GGACUGGACCAGGGCUCAAUUAGGCUGGAUCUUGCAUCCUAGGGUUGCCUAGAGUCAUGGCGAAGUCAGGCAGGAAAACACGGCUCAAACCCGAGAGUCGGCACAUUAACUGUC
ncrna:unclassified sequences Hairpin-meta1 ribozyme sequence